UAUAGCAUGUCCCUUUCUUGUGAAUUUCACUGUAAGAAUUUACAUGUUAAAGGCUCUGAACAGGACUGCAGUUAAGGAAACUCACUUGAUUAUGCUUAGUGGACUACGUUUCUCAAACUCAUUUGCCUGCUGUGGAGCCCUGUUUUAUAUAACCUCUAAUAGCCUGAGAAAUAUACUUUGGGCAACACUGAUCUAGAAGGUCUGGUAUUUGCCAGAUCUGUCCCUGUAGACUCAGACUGUUUUCUGCUGUAAGAGCAGCAGCUCUUCAUAUGUUUGCCUCUUUUUUUUUUGAGAUGGACUCCAGGCUGUCAUCCAGGCUGGAGUACAGUGACACGAUUUUGGCUCACUGCAACCUCCGCCUCCAGGGUUCAAGCAAUUCUCCAGCCUCAGCCUCCCAAGUAGCUGGGAUUAUAGACACGUGCCACCAUGCCCAGCUAAUUUUUGUAUUUUUAAUGGAGAUGGGAUUUCACCAUGUUGGCCAGGCUGGUCUCGAACUCCUGACCUCAAGUGAUCCGCCCACCUUGGCCUCCCAAAGUGCUGGGAUUACAGGCAUGAGCCACCGCGCCCAGCCUCUGUUUGCCUCUCUUCUAACCCAGUUUUGGGUCCCAGGAAAGACUUUCCCUGAGGUCCGUCUUUCUAGUUAGGCCCCACGUGGACUGUCAUUGAGGAGGCCAUAAGGAUCAGAUCAGACUGAUGUUGGGGCUGAAAGUGAAGAUUUAACUGGGAGGAGGAAGGUGUGGAAAGAUUCUCCAGAUGUUCUAAACCCCUUUGCCUUUCCCACACAGGAUGGUUUCCCCAUUCGGAUAAAAGCAGUCCAUGUUGUGAAUGAACCUCGAAUAUUUAAAGGCAUUUUUGCCAUCAUAAAACCAUUUCUAAAGGAGAAAAUAGCAAACAGAUUCUUCCUCCAUGGGUCUGACUUGAACUCUCUCCACACAAACCUUCCAAGCAGCAUCCUCCCCAAGGAGUAUGGGGGCACGGCUGGGGAGCUGGACACUGCCACCUGGAACGCGGUACUGCUGGCUUCAGAAGACGAUUUUGUGAAAGAGUUCUGCCAACCUGUUCCUGCCUGUGACAGCAUCCUGGGCCAGACGCUGCUGCCUGAGGGCCUGACCUCAGAUGCACAGUGUGACGACUCCUUGCGAGCUGUGAAGUCACAGCUGUACUCCUGCUACUAGCCCGUCCCCCAGGGUCACCAUCUUUAAUUCUUUUCCUUCUUUUCUUUGGAGAGGCACAAGGAGAAUUUAAGGGUCCAUGGAUUCAGUCUUGCUCCUUGUAAUUAAACUGCAGGAUGAAGGAACAGCCUGAUAUAUGAGCGUGAGCCCAUUUUGGGGUAAGCCUUUGGUUACUUGAAUUACUCCAUGGAAGACAUGGAAAAUGUCCCCACUGAUUCUUAAACAUUUGGAAUCCCAGUCUGCAACUAUUAAUCUGGAGGCUAUAUCUGUUUUGUUUUGCUUUUUGGUUGGGGGGUGGUGAUCUGGUUCUUACACAUCUUGGAAGCAAGAACAAUCAGGACCAAAGUCACUUUGAUCCCACUUUUCCAGGAGAAAAACCACCUGUUUGGCCAGUGAGAACUACUUGUAUGAAAUAAUUUGGCCAAACCUUCAGUGUGACCAAAUGUGAGACUGGGAGUUUGUGUUUUUCACAGGAACCCUAAGUAUAGACCUCUGCUGCUCAUCAGGAAACUUACUGGAGAUGAAGGCCCCAGCUGUUGUCACCGGGUUUGGAAAGCACCUUAACUGAAUCAUGUAAGCAUCAGGACAUAAGCAGCACUUUGUGGUCAAAUGUGGAAGCCGGAGACUUCAAAGCACCUCUGGGACCCACUGGUUGAAGUCUGCAAUAGAAACUUAAGUUUUCCCAAAUCCAUAAAGCCUUAGCCCUGGUUCUCAAUAGAAUCAGGGACCUAGCAGGAAAUGAUUUUACUCAACCUAAGAUGCUGGAUCCCAGGCCCGUGUAGCUAUAAGAAUUCUGGCCUGGAUCCCAGGUGUGCAACUAUGGACAAGAUAUGGGCCUCUACUUUCUCCUCUAUAAAAUGAGGCUGGAUGAAAUGUCAGCUAGGGCCAUUUUGGCUGCUGAGGCUCUGGGAUUUGGUUUAGUUACUGAAUGUUAGAUUUUCUGCCUAGAAAGAUAACUAUCUUGAUACAAGUGGUUGGAUCCUGUUUUUGUUUGUGGUACAUGUGUCUUUCCAAGAGAGAUGUGUCACCAAUUAGCCCUGCCUUUAAAGAAACUAUUAUGUGUAUUCCUGGGACUCACUGACACCAAUUUUCUUUUUAUAGUGAUGGUUCAAUUUUGAAAAGAUGGCUUUUGUGAGGCCAGGUUAAGGUGACCAGGAUCUUGUAUGAUGAAUUCCUUCCAUCCCUGAGACUCUGGUACUAUAUUGUAAACCUGGCUACAGUAGUUAAUUACUUGAGAUUCUUUAAUUUUGGACUCUGGGCCGGGCGUGGUGGUUCAUGCCUGUAAUCCCAGCACUUUGGGAGGCCAAGGUGUGCGGAUCACAAGGUCAGGAGUUCGAGACACGCCUGGCCAAGAUGGUGAAACCCCAUCUCUACUAAAAAUACAAAAAUUAGCUGGGCGUGGUGGUGGGCUCCUGUAGUCCCAGCUACUCGGGAGGCUGAGGCAGAAGAAUCGCCUGAACCCAGAAGGCAGAAGUGGCAGUGAGCCAAGAUCACACCACUGCACUCCAGCCUGGGCGACAGAGCAAGACUCUGCCUCAAAAAAAAAAAAAAAAAAAAAAAAAAAAUUUUUUUUUUUUGGUCUCUGGAAAUGAACACAAGGGCAGGUUAUUGCUGGGUCACUUCUGGGCCCCCCUGCCCUCCCAGCCCCACUUGAGUUUCUCUCUCUGGUGUGGGUGAACCAGUCAGCCUGAAUGUUCUGCAUUUCAGCACUUUAGAACCUCCCUGUGAAGAUUUUAGCCUUAGCCCAAACAUCAAAUUAGACGGUUCACAUGAUGGUUUUUGACCUAUUUCCUUUCUAAUGUAUUCCACAUGAUCAUGGUGUUAAAUAGUGAAAAGUACUGUGUUGUGUGUGCACCUUCUCCGUGCAUUUAUUAGACUAACCAGUCAAGCAGACAGCUCAGUUAGGGAGAAAACAAUACUCUGAAAUUUGAAGGCCAGUCUGUUGUUACUAAGCUGUUUAUCUCUAUUGCCUUUUUAAAUGUCUGGAUAAGUUGUUGGUGGAAAUUAAGUUACUUAACCUCAUUAAUACCAAUUCUAGAGAAAGUGCUUUUCACCAUGGAUAGUAACCCUGGAUCCUCUAGGGUACUGGCUGAGCUGGAAGUGCCAAAAAGCACUCCUGGCUGCUUCUGGUUCCAUCUGAUGAUGAUGUGACCUGCACUGCUGAAAAGGCCCAAGCAGGGCAAGUGGGAUGGCUGAAGGAGGGAAGGAGGGGGUUCAGAACCCACUGGCCUGCAUGGGAGAACUGGGUGGAGGCUUCCCCAAGAGGGAUGACAGAUAAAC
rnacentral:sRNA from 1 species